UACGUAGGGUGCAAGCGUUGUCCGGAAUUAUUGGGCGUAAAGAGCUCGUAGGCGGUGUGUCGCGUCGGCCGUGAAAACCUGAGGCUCAACCUCGGGCGUGCGGUGGAUACUGCCGGGCUAGAGGACGGUAGAGGCGAGUGGAAUUCCCGGUGUAGCGGUGAAAUGCGCAGAUAUCGGGAGGAACACCAGUAGCGAAGGCGGCUCGCUGGGCCGUUCCUGACGCUGAGACGCGAAAGCUAGGGGAGCGAACAGG
rnacentral:rRNA from 1 species